rnacentral:rRNA from 1 species
CCUACGGGUGGCAGCAGUGAGGAAUAUUGGUCAAUGGGCGCAAGCCUGAACCAGCCAAGUAGCGUGAAGGAUGACUGCCCUACGGGUUGUAAACUUCUUUUAUGAAGGAAUAAAGUGCGUCACGUGUGCCUUUUUGUAUGUACUUUAUGAAUAAGGAGCGGCUAACUCCGUGCCAGCAGCCGCGGUAAUACGGAGGAUCCGAGCGUUAUCCGGAUUUAUUGGGUUUAAAGGGAGCGUAGAUGGGUUGUUAAGUCAGCUGUGAAAGUCUGUGGCUCAACCGUAACAGUGCAGUGGAUACUGGCAGGCUUGAGUACAGGUGAGGUAGGCGGAAUUCGUGGUGUAGCGGUGAAAUGCUUAGAUAUCACGAAGAACUCCGAUUGCGAAGGCAGCUUACGAAACUGCCACUGACACUGAUGCUCGAAAGUGUGGGUAUCAAACAGGAUUAGAUACCCGGGUAGUC